UUCGAACGGCAGCACAGGAGAGCUUGCUCUCUGGGUGGCGAGUGGCGGACGGGUGAGGAAUACAUCGGAAUCUACUCUGUCGUGGGGGAUAACGUAGGGAAACUUACGCUAAUACCGCAUACGACCUACGGGUGAAAGCAGGGGAUCUUCGGACCUUGCGCGAUUGAAUGAGCCGAUGUCGGAUUAGCUAGUUGGCGGGGUAAAGGCCCACCAAGGCGACGAUCCGUAGCUGGUCUGAGAGGAUGAUCAGCCACACUGGAACUGAGACACGGUCCAGACUCCUACGGGAGGCAGCAGUGGGGAAUAUUGGACAAUGGGCGCAAGCCUGAUCCAGCCAUACCGCGUGGGUGAAGAAGGCCUUCGGGUUGUAAAGCCCUUUUGUUGGGAAAGAAAUCCAGCUGGCUAAUACCCGGUUGGGAUGACGGUACCCAAAGAAUAAGCACCGGCUAACUUCGUGCCAGCAGCCGCGGUAAUACGAAGGGUGCAAGCGUUACUCGGAAUUACUGGGCGUAAAGCGUGCGUAGGUGGUCGUUUAAGUCCGUUGUGAAAGCCCUGGGCUCAACCUGGGAACUGCAGUGGAUACGGGGCCACUAGAGUGUGGUCGAGGGGUACCGGAAUUCCGGGUUUUUGG
rnacentral:rRNA from 1 species